AUUGAACGCUGGCGGCAUGCUUUACACAUGCAAGUCGAACGGUAACAGCCCGCAAGGUGCUGACGAGUGGCGAACGGGUGAGUAAUGCAUCGUAACGUGCCCAGUCGUUGGGGGUAACUACUCGUAAGAGUAUCUAAUACCUCAUACGAUCUAUGGAUGAAAGCGGGGGUCCGUAAGCCCUCGCGCGAUUGGAGCGGCCGAUGUCAGAUUAGGUAGUUGGUGGGGUAAAGGCUCACCAAGCCAACGAUCUGUAGCUGGUCUGAGAGGACGACCAGCCACACUGGGAAUGAGACACGGCACAGACUCCUACGGGAGGCAGCAGUGGGGAAUUUUGGACAAGGGGCGAAAGCCUGAUCCAGCAAUGCCGCGUGAAGGAAGAAGGCCUUCGGGUUGUAAACUGCUGUUGUACGGAACGAAACGGCUCUGGUUAAUACCCGGGGCUAAUGACGGUACCGAAAGAAUAAGCACCGGCUAACUACGUG
rnacentral:rRNA from 1 species